GGUUCGAUCCUGGCUCAGAUUGAACGCUGGCGGGAUGCUUUUACACAUGCAAGUCGAACGGCAGCACGGACUUCGGUCUGGUGGCGAGUGGCGAACGGGUGAGUAAUGUAUCAUCGGAACGUGCCCAAGUAGCGGGGGAUAACUACGCGAAAGCGUAGCUAAUACCACAUACGCCCUUCGGGGAAAGCAGGGGACCUUCGGGCCUCGCACUAUUAGGCGGCCAAUCUAUCGGAUUAGCUAGUUGGUAGGGUAACGGCUCACCAAGGCGACGAUCCGUAGCUGGUUUUGAGGGAGGACGACCAGCCACUGGGACUGAGACACGGCCCAGACUCCUACGGGAGGGAGCAGCAGUGGGAAUUUUUGGACAAUGGGGGAAACCCUGAUCCAGCCAUCCCGCGUGUGCGAUGAAGGCCUUCGGGUUGUAAAGCACUUUUGGCAGGAAAGAAACGGCACGGGAUAAUACCCCGUGCAACUGACAAACACCUGCAGAAUAAGCACCGGCUAACUACGUGCCAGCAGCCGCGGUAAUACGUAGGGUGCAAGCGUUAGUCGGAAUUACUGGGCGUAAAGCGUGCGCAGGCGGUUCGGAAGAAAAGAUGUGAAAUCCCAGAGCUUAGCUUUGGAACUGCAUUUUUAACUACCGAGCUAGAGUGUGUGUCAGAGGGAGGUGGAAUUCCGCGUGUAGCAGUGAAAUGCGUAGAUAUGCGGAGGAACACCGAUGGCGAAGGCAGCCUCCUGGGAUAACACUGACGCUCAUGCGCAGCAGUGGGGAGCAAACAGGAUUAGAUACCCUGGUAGUCCACGCCCUAAACGAUGUCAACUAGCUGUUGGGGCCUUCGGGCCUUGGUAGCGCAGCUAACGCGUGAAGUUGACCGCCUGGGGAAGUACGGUCGCAAGAUUAAAACUCAAAGGAAUUGACGGGGACCCGCACAAGCGGUGGAUGAUGUGGAUUAAUUCGAUGCAACGCGAAAAACCUUACCUACCCUUGACAUGUCUGGAAUCGAAGAGAUUUGGGAGUGCUCGCAAGAGAACCGGAACACAGGUGCUGCAUGGCUGUCGUCAGCUCGUGUCGUGAGAUGUUGGGUUAAGUCCGCAACGAGCGCAACCCUUGUCAUUAGUUGCUGCGAAGGGCACUCUAAUGUUUGCAGUGAGCAAACCGGAGGAAGGUGGGGAUGACGUCAAGUCCUCAUGGCUUAUAUGGGUAGGGCUUCACACGUCAUACAAUGGUCGGGACAGAGGGUCGCCAACCCGCGAGGGGGAGCCAAUCCCAGAAACCCGAUCGUAGUCCGGAUCGCAGUCUACAACUCGACUGCGUGAAGUCGGAAUCGCUAGUAAUCGCGGAUCAGCAUGUCGCGGUGAAUACGUUCCCGGGUCUUGUACACCGCCCGUCACACCAUGGGAGUGGGUUUUACCAGAAGUAGUUAGCCUAACCGUAAGGAGGGCAGUUACCGGUAGGAUUCAUGACUGGGGUGAAGUCGUAACAGGUAA
rnacentral:rRNA from 1 species